rnacentral:rRNA from 1 species
CUGGCGGCAGGCUUAACACAUGCAAGUCGAACGCACCUUUCGGGGUGAGUGGCAGACGGGUGAGUAACGCGUGGGAACGUGCCCUUCAGUUCGGAAUAACCCAGGGAAACUUGGGCUAAUACCGGAUACGUGCGAGAGCAGAAAGAUUUAUCGCUGAAGGAUCGGCCCGCGUCUGAUUAGCUAGUUGGUGGGGUAAUGGCCCACCAAGGCGACGAUCAGUAGCUGGUCUGAGAGGAUGAUCAGCCACAUUGGGACUGAGACACGGCCCAAACUCCUACGGGAGGCAGCAGUGGGGAAUAUUGGACAAUGGGCGCAAGCCUGAUCCAGCCAUGCCGCGUGAGUGAUGAAGGCCUUAGGGUUGUAAAGCUCUUUCGUCCGGGACGAUAAUGACGGUACCGGAAGAAGAAGCCCCGGCU